GUGAGGAAUAUUGGUCAAUGGACGGAAGUCUGAACCAGCCAUGCCGCGUGAAGGAUGAAGGCGUUCUGCGUUGUAAACUUCUUUUAUCAGAGAAGAAACCACUGAUUUCUAUUAGUGUUGACGGUAUCUGAUGAAUAAGCACCGGCUAACUCCGUGCCAGCAGCCGCGGUAAUACGGAGGGUGCAAGCGUUAUCCGGAUUUACUGGGUUUAAAGGGUGUGUAGGCGGGCUAUUAAGUCAGGGGUGAAAUCCCGGGGCUCAACCUCGGAACUGCCUUUGAUACUAUUAGUCUUGAAUUAUGUUGAGGUUGGCGGAAUAUAACAUGUAGCGGUGAAAUGCAUAGAUAUGUUAUAGAACACCGAUUGCGAAGGCAGCUGGCUAAACAUAUAUUGACGCUGAGGCACGAAAGCGUGGGUAGCGAACAGGAUUAGAUACCCGGGUAGUCC
rnacentral:rRNA from 1 species